GCGGACGUAGUGCGCGGUGCACCGCUGCAUUUCAUUCGUAACCUCGCUUAGGGUUGAGCAGUUGCUGGGGUUCGAUUCCCCGCGUCCGCA